rnacentral:rRNA from 1 species
UUAAAAUGUAAAAAAAAAUUACUAAAUUAAUAAUAGUUUAUGUUCUUUAAAAUUAAAGAUUUUGGCGGUAAUUUAUUCUUUUCAGAGGAACUUGUUCUUUAAUCGAUGUUACACGAUAAUAAAGACCUAAGGUUUAAAUUUGUAUAUCGUUGUAGUUGAAUAUUUUAUAAGAAAAAUAAUUUUCAAAAAUUUUUAUUUUAAAAAAAAUCAAAUCAAGGUGCAGUUUAUAUUUAGGUAGAAAUGAGUUACAAUAAAUUUAUUUAAAUGGAUUAUAUUUUAAAAAUAUGUAUAAAAGUGGAUUUGAGAGUAAUUAAUUUUAUUUUAUUUUAAUGAUCUUAGUUUUAAAUUAUGU